CAUUGUAUAGCUGCCAUAGCAUUAGCCUUUUAAGCUAAAGACUGGGAAAUAUUCUUCUCUACAGUGA
rnacentral:tRNA from 1 species